AAUAACUUUAUAAUUAAGGUAGUUUAACUGGGGCAGUUUUCAUCUAUAGUGUAACGAUGAAGUCUAUAAUGUAAAUUUAAAUAACUUUGUUGUUUUAAAGUUUAAUGAUAAAUAUUUGCUUGAUUUUUUUAUGGGUGCAUAAAGAAAGGAUUUAAAUCUAGCAUAAUGAACCGUUAUAAAAAAAGAAAUAUAUUACGAGCAACAAUUAACAAGUACGCCAGGGAUAACAGGCUGAUAUAAUUUGAUAGUUCUUAUUGAUGAUUAUGCUUGGCACCUCGAUGUCGACUUAUCAUAGCCUUAUAUUGAAGAAGAUAUAAAGGGUUUAGUUGUUCACUAAUUAAAAUGUUACGUGAGUUGGGUUUAAAACGUUGUAAAACAGUUUGGUUCCUAUCUACUAAAAUUAAUUAAAAAAAAGAUUUUAAUUUAAUACGAAAGGAGCGGU
rnacentral:rRNA from 1 species